rnacentral:rRNA from 1 species
UACGUAGGGCGCAAGCGUGUCCGGAAUUAUUGGGCGUAAAGAGCUCGUAGGCGGCUUGUCACGUCGGGUGUGAAAGCCCGGGCUUAACCCCGGGUCUGCAUUCGAUACGGGCUAGCUAGAGUGUGGUAGGGGAGAUCGGAAUUCCUGGUGUAGCAGUGAAAUACGUAGAGAUCAUGAGGAAGACCAGUGGCGAAGGCGGGUCUCUGGACAGUUCCUGACACUGAGACACGAAGGCCAGGGGAGCAAACGGG